CGCGUAGGCGGGCCGCAUAGUCAGGGGUGAAAGCCUCCGGCUCAACUGGAGAAGUGCCUUUGAUACUGGCGGCCUCGAGGGGUGCAGGGGCGUGCGGAACUUAGGGUGGAGCGGUGAAAUGCGUAGAUAUCCUAAGGAACACCGGUGGCGAAGGCGGCACGCUGGACACCUUCUGACGCUGAGGCGCGAAAGCCAAGGAGCAAACG
rnacentral:rRNA from 1 species